GCUAUAUAUAGAAAUCAACUGUCUCCACUACCAACAUGUAUUAAAUAUAUUGAAUAUGUAUUUAUUUUAUCCUCGUGUCUAAUAUAUUGUUACUGAGUAUAUUAAUGAAAUCUUUGAUGGGUAUAUAGAUAAGUACUUGUCUCAUUGUCAUUAGUACUUUGCUAUAUAUGUUAAAAAGAUGGAUCGUGCUGACAUGACAUUUGUACUUAAAAAAUAUGGAAACACCACACAUUUUCAAUAAUAAUGAUUGAUUCUUAUUCUCUAAUGUAGAUUUCAUAAUGAAGAUUAUUUUUCUACCAUUUAAUUUGAAAAUCAAAAAGUAUACUGAAUCUAUUUAAAAAAAGGUUCAAAUAUUCACAAGAAUUAAGGCUGUCAGAUAUCAGUAAUUAGAUUUUUAUGCCCCACCUACGUCCGUAUGUUCGUUCAUCCGUCUGUUUGUUCGUAUCUGUCCCGCUUCAGGUUUAAAGUUUUUGGUCAAGGUAGUUUUUGAUGAAGCUGAAGUCCAAUCAACUUGAAACUUAGUACACAUGUUCCUUAUGAUAUAAUCUUUCUAAUUUUAAAGCCAAAUUAGACUUUUGACCCAAAUUUCACUGUCCACUGAAUAUAAAAAAUGAAAGUGCGAGUUUCAGGUUAAAGUUUUUUGGUCAAGGUAGUUUUUGAUGAAAUAGAAGUCCAAUCAACUUGAAACUUAGUACACAUGUUCCCUAUGGUAUGAUCUUUCCAAUUUUAAUACCAAAUUAGAUUUUUUACCCAAUUUCACGGUCCAUUGAACAUGGAAAAGGAAAGUGCGAGUGGGGCAUCUGUGUACUUUGGACACAUUCUUGUUUAAUUUUGCCUUAUGUUUUUCUUUAGAUCUUCAAACUGCAAAAGCUGACAAAAACCUCACUUUGAGAUAUUGCCAUUUUUAUUUAUUUUCAACAGUUAAUCCAAAAAAGAUAAUGUACUUAAAUAUGAGAUGUCUUAUACAAAGAUGUUGAUGUGAGUAAAAUUAUUUCUUGGAUAAAGGCUAAAGCUGUUGUAAAAAUUAUUAUAAUAUGGUAAUUUUAAUUACAUAUGUCAAUUUCAGCAUUUUAUAUGACAACUCAAAUGACAUGAUUUUAUCAUAUUUUAGAUUAACACUAAAUCAGAGUAAUCUACUGAUCCUGUUUGUAAUAUUAAUCUUAUAAUUAUAUUUUAAAAGAUCAUGUUUGCUGUGGUAUCAUAGCAGAGUGUACUCAUUUUUUUUUCUCUCAGAAAAUAGAAGUUCAUUUAUUUCAAAAUUUUAAUAGGUUUAAACAAUCUAAAUGUGUAUGUGUGCACUAAUUACAGCUUGAUGUACAUAAUAAUAAUAUUAACAACAAUUUUCCAAUAAGAUGGAUAUUUUAAGUAUAAAUUGAUCAGCAUUUGAAUCACAAGUUUACAAGAUGAUAUACUCAUUCUAUGAAACAGUAUUAAAUGAAGGUAUUUUUAUACAUUUCUGUCAGUGAACUGUUGAUAUUUGCUAGGUUUAUUUACACUUAAUACUUAUAUUUGUAAUAUUUAU
rnacentral:lncRNA from 1 species